UCCGUUAAGCGGAAGCCAUAUGGAGGUGGGGCGGCAAACUGAGGCGAACCAUCACCGUGGCGUGCUGAAAAACACAUUAGCUAGCCACCUGUGCCAUGAAGACUGUUCCUGAUGGCCGCCGCCAGCUGCUCCUCCUCCGUCAUUCCGCCCGUGUACCUUGACGCCCCAUCAUCCGCCGUGUGCUGAUCGCUUCUGGAGCUUCUACCGCUGUAGCCUACACAGAGUGACAGUGUUCCCAUGCUCAAGCUCACCAGCACACAUCUUCAUCAUCUUCUUCAAUGGUCCGGCAGUGUAAAGGAGGCCCACCAGGAUACCCGCAAGGUGACCAAUCAGGGACGUCCUGGUGAGGAGGAGUAAGAAAGGUUAACGCUGCCCCCUGCUGGCGUUUUGACUCCAUUGCAAACACAACUCACCCUGGU